rnacentral:rRNA from 1 species
AUUGAACGCUGGCGGCAUGCUUUACACAUGCAAGUCGAACGGUAACACGCCUUCCGGUCCUGACGCGUGGCGCACGCGGGUGUGAUGUAUCUGAACGUACCCCGAGUUGGGGGGGAACGCAGGGAAAGCUGUGUAAUAACAGCACGUAAGACGAGAAUGAGAGCGGGGGGGAGAGCAGCAAUGCUUGGUCUCGCGGCUUUGGAGCGGCGGAUGGCGGGUUAGCUAGUUGGUGGGGUAAAGGCGUACCAAGGCGACGAUCCGUAGCUGGUCUGAGAGGACGACCAGCCACACUGGGACUGAGACACGGCCCAGACUCCUACGGGAGGCAGCAGUGGGGAAUUUUGGACAAUGGGCGCAAGCCUGAUCCAGCAAUGCCGCGUGUGGGAUGAAGGCCUUCGGGUUGUAAAGCACUUUUGGCGGGAACGAAACGGUGUGCGCUAAUACCACGCGUUAAUGACGGUACCUGCAGAAUAAGCACCGGCUAACUACGUG